rnacentral:tRNA from 2 species
GCCCGUGUGGUGAAAUGGUAGACACACGAGACUUAAAAUCUCUUGCUCCUUCGGAGCGUGCCGGUUCGAGUCCGGCCACGGGCA